rnacentral:sRNA from 1 species
UCUGCAUAGUGCAGAACAUUCUGCUGCUCUUAAAGACCCUCAUCCCUCCCGUGGGAGCCCCCUUUGGACACUCUAUGACCCUGGACCCUCGGGGGACCUGAACUUGAUGCGAUGGGAGGCUGUGCAGGCUCGCGGCGGCGCUUUUCGGAUUCCGAGGGGGAGGAGACCGUCCCGGAGCCCCGGCUCCCUCUGUUGGACCAUCAGGGCGCGCAUUGGAAGAACGCGGUGGGCUUCUGGCUGCUGGGCCUUUGCAACAACUUCUCUUAUGUGGUGAUGCUGAGUGCUGCCCACGACAUCCUUAGCCACAAGAGGACAUCGGGAAACCAGAGCCAUGUGGACCCAGGCCCAACGCCGAUGCCCCACAACAGCUCAUCACGAUUUGACUGCAACUCUGUCUCUACGGCUGCUGUGCUCCUGGCGGACAUCCUCCCCACACUCGUCAUCAAAUUGUUGGCUCCUCUUGGCCUUCACCUGCUGCCCUACAGCCCCCGGGUUCUCGUCAGUGGGAUUUGUGCUGCUGGAAGCUUCGUCCUGGUUGCCUUUUCUCAUUCUGUGGGGACCAGCCUGUGUGGUGUGGUCUUCGCUAGCAUCUCAUCAGGCCUUGGGGAGGUCACCUUCCUCUCCCUCACUGCCUUCUACCCCAGGGCCGUGAUCUCCUGGUGGUCCUCAGGGACUGGGGGAGCUGGGCUGCUGGGGGCCCUGUCCUACCUGGGCCUCACCCAGGCCGGCCUCUCCCCUCAGCAGACCCUGCUGUCCAUGCUGGGUAUCCCUGCCCUGCUGCUGGCCAGCUAUUUCUUGUUGCUCACAUCUCCUGAGGCCCAGGACCCUGGAGGGGAAGAAGAGGCAGAGAGCGCAGCCCGGCAGCCCCUCAUAAGAACCGAGGCCCCGGAGUCGAAGCCAGGCUCCAGCUCCAGCCUCUCCCUUCGGGAAAGGUGGACAGUGUUCAAGGUUCGGAUGAUGGCUGGGGUAUGUCCCUGUGGGGCUUGCUCACCUCCAGGCCCCCCGCUUAUAUCUUCUGCCUUUUCCAGGGUCUGCUGUGGUACAUUGUUCCCUUGGUCGUAGUUUACUUUGCCGAGUAUUUCAUUAACCAGGGACUUGUAAGUGAGGGGUGCUAGGAGGGGUGUGGAGGUGGCGAUUGGGGCUGGGACCCACACGGCCCCGUCCAUCUCCCCUGUCUGGUAUUUGUUGCAGUUUGAACUCCUCUUUUUCCGGAACACUUCCCUGAGUCACGCUCAGCAAUACCGCUGGUACCAGAUGCUGUACCAGGCUGGCGUCUUUGCCUCCCGCUCUUCUCUCCGCUGCUGUCGCAUCCGUUUCACCUGGGCCCUGGCCCUGCUGCAGAUGGAGUCUCGCUCUGUUGCCCAGGCUGGAAUGUAGCGGUGCAAUCUUGGCUCACUGCAACCCCUGCCUCCCAGAUUCAAGCGAUUCUCAAGCCUCAGCCUUCCGAGUAGCUGGGAUUACAG